AGCGAACGCUGGCGGCAGGCCUAACACAUGCAAGUCGAGCGCCGUAGCAAUCCGGGGCGGCAGACGGGAGAGUAACACGUGGGAACGUACCCUUUGGUUCGGAACAACCCAGGGAAACUUGGGCUAACACCGGAUCAGCCCUUACGAGGAAAGAUUCAUCGCCGAAGGAUCGGCCCGCGUCUGAUUAGCUAGGUGGUGGGGUCAUGGCCCACCAAGGCGACGAUCGGUAGCUUGUCUGAGAGGAUGAUGAGCCUCACUGGGACUGAGACACGGCACAGACUCCUACGGGAGGCAGCAGUGGGGAAUAUUGGACAAUGGGCGCAAGCCUGAUCCAGCCAUGCCGCGUGGGUGAUGAAGGCCUUAGGGUUGUAAAGCCCUUUCGGCGGGGAAGAUAAUGACGGUACCCGCAGAAGAAGCCCCGGCUAACUUCGUGCCAGCCGCCGCAGUAA
rnacentral:rRNA from 1 species